GACGAACGCUGGCGGCGUGCUUAACACAUGCAAGUCGAACGGAAAGUCCCUGCUUUUGUUGGGUGCUCGAGUGGCGAACGGGUGAGUAACACUUGAGUAACCUGCCCUUGACUUUGGGAUAACUUCAGGAAACUUGGGCUAAUACCGGCUAGGAGCUCCUGCUGCAUGGUGGGGGUUGGAAAGUUUCGGCGGUUGGGGAUGGACUCGCGGCUUAUCAGCUUGUUGGUGGGGUAGUGGCUUACCAAGGCUUUGACGGGUAGCCGGCCUGAGAGGGUGACCGGCCACAUUGGGACUGAGAUACGGCCCAGACUCCUACGGGAGGCAGCAGUGGGGAAUAUUGCACAAUGGGCGGAAGCCUGAUGCAGCAACGCCGCGUGCGGGAUGACGGCCUUCGGGUUGUAAACCGCUUUCGCCUGUGACGAAGCGUGAGUGACGGUAAUGGGUAAAGAAGCACCGGCUAACUACGUG
rnacentral:rRNA from 1 species